CCCUAAAAAAGGUAAAAUGACCCCCCCCAAAAAAUAUAUAUAUAUAAAUAAUAUAAUAUAUAUAAAUGUUGGAAUAUAAUAUCGAAUUUUAAAGGAAGCUUAAGUACCAACUUUGUUUCCUAGUGAACCACCAAAUAAAGACAGUGUGUGAGAAUGGUACACUGAGGCUUCAGUGCAGAGAUAAAUCUGUCUUGACAAUUUUUUCUGCAAGUUACGGCAAAUUCAUGGAAGGAAAACAAGAAUGUGGAGUAAUGAAUAAAAAUGGACCUGUUCAUAGUGCCUAUAAAGCUGCUGCAACAAAUGGACCAUAGCUCACUGGACCCAUUUACACGGUCUGAUUAUAUAUAUGGGCUGCUCCCUCGGCUAGGGGUCUAAUCGGAGCUGUAGCCACCAGGCUAUGCCAGAGCCACAGCAACAUGGAAUCCAAGCUGCAUCUGCGACCUACACCACAGCUCACGGCAAUGCCGGAUCGUUAACCCACUGAGCAAGGGCAGGGACUGAACCUGCAACCUCAUGGUUCCUAGUCGGAUUCGUUAACCACUGAGCCACGACGGGAACUCCAAGAUAUGACUCCUUUUGAUCCGGCGACCUCGAAACUAAAAAUGACUGGAGAUGGAAAUAUUCCUUGAUUAGGUCUUGUUUUGUUGCUUGGGGGGUAACCCUCCAAGUCUAUCCUUAUCUGGGAAUCUUGGCAUUUUCCUCUGUUCAUUUAUCUUCAUUACUUUUUCUUUCUCUUCCUCGGACUGCAUACUUUCAAAGAACUAAAGGGAAGCAUGAGUAUGAUGUCUUACCAAAUGGAGAACUUCAAUAAAGAAAAACUGUAAAAAUUGAACUAAAUUCUGGAGCUGAAAAGUACAACUAAAAUGAAAAGUUCACUAGGAAGCUCAACAGCAUAUGUGAGCUGGCAGAAGAAUCAGCGAAAUUAAAGAUAGGCUAAUUGAAAUAGGAGGAUCCGUUUCGUCGAAGAAAACAAGUUGAGAGAAGAAUGAUAAAAUAGAUACAGGUAUGGAUUGGUUCAGAUUAAGGCAAGUGAAGGAAUUUCUGUCCGAUGGAUUCUGUCCUUUAUUGAGAGUGGAGAUAGGGAUGAAUAGGGGGGCACAGGACCAUUUUAGAGAAGUGAAACUAUGUUGCAUGACACUGUGAAAGCGGACACAUAACAUCGUGCAUUUAUCAAAAUCCGUAGAACUGCGCAACACAGAGUGAAUCCUCAGGUCAACUAGGGAUGUUAGUCAAUAACGAUCGAUCAGUGCUGAUUCAUCGAUUGUAACAAAUGGAUCCCACACAUGCAAAAUGUGAAUGGGAGAAAUCCUGUGUGAAUAGGGUGGAGGGAGGGGGAGGGGAAAUAUUCAUGGAAAGUCUGUACUUUCUGACAAUGUCUCUGUAAUCUAAAAACUUAUUCUGAUAUCAUAGUCAUCAAAAAUUUCAAAAAUAAAGGAAACAUCUGUUUGGCUGCAUGAAAUACAAGUGAAAUAUAUUGUGAUGGGAAAAUAAUUUCUAAGUAUAAUGAAGAUUGUUACUUUUUAAUUAUAAUUCUUAUGAUCCCCAAACAGGAUCCAUAAGGAAAAAAGUUCUAGAUUUGAAUAAAUAAAAAAUUAAGCCUCCCAACAUCAAAAACUGCUACAAUUUAUAUUAAAAGGCAAACCACAAAAACUAUUUGCAAUAAUCUUGACAAAGAGGCUAAUUAUUAACAAUGUAUAAGAAUCUUUUGAAUCCAUAACAAAAUCAUUUACUUGCUCCAAUUAGACAAAUGAUAUUAAUAUACCAUUGACAGAAGAAGAAACACCUAAAUCUAAUAGAUGUGAUGAAAGCAUUUAACAUUCCUGUGACUCAAAGUCAUACAACAUUGGUGAGAUAACAAAUUCAGUAAAUGUUUGAGAUAACAUUUUCUUACUAAAGUGGUAAUUGAAAGAAAAUGCAAUACUCCAUGUUAAAGUGAAAUCAUGAGCAUUUUGAUGUGCUGGUGGUGUGUAUCACUGGUAUAAUUCUGAAAGGAAACUUGACAAUAUCUAUUUAGAGCCUUACAAGUUGAGAUCUUAUAGAAUAUAAAGCCAUUAAAAGAAAUUUAGAGAGUUUUGCUGUGGCACAGUGGGCUAAGAAUCCAACUGCAGUGGCUUGGGUUGCUGCGGAGGCAAGGGUUUGAUCCUGCCAUGGUGCAAGAGGCUAAAGGAUCCAGUGUUGCCCAGCCGUGGCAUAGGCCGCAGCCAUUAAACAAACAAACAAACAAAAAAAAAAAGAAAUUUAGAAAAAUAUUUGGAAUGGAUAAGCAAAGAUAUCCCACUGUAUAGGAUGCGGAACUAUAUCCAGUCUCUUGGGAUGGAACACGAUGGAAGCUAAUAUGAGAAAAAAAUGUACAUAUACAUAUGACUGGGUCACUUUGCUGUAUAGCAGAAAUUGGCUCGACAUUGUAAAUGAGCUAUAAUUUAAUAAAGCAAAUGUAAAAAAAAACCCUUAAAGAUAUACAUCGAAAAGUUCAUCUUCAGUAUUCCUAAGUGCUGGUAUUAUGGGUGGCUUUUUCCAGUUCCUGGAUUUUCUAAAUUGUCUCACAAUACAUCUCAUGUUUAUAUUAAAAACGGACAAAGGUAAAUAUUUGAUUCAACUUUCAGUGGGAAAGAAAGGCUAUCUGGUCAUUUCAUGAAAGGAUCACGAUAUUAUGAACAUGAAACUGCUCUAAAAACAAAGUCCUUAAAAAAACCCCAAAAAAUACUAUAUAUAUAUAUAUAUAUAUAUAUAUAUAUAUAUAUAUAAUUAUGUUACCUGCUUCCCCCCCCCCAAUAAACUCUCAUUAGCAGUUUCUCCUGUCACAAUAAAUACUUUUUUUUUUCUCGUCUUUUUAUGGCUGUACCCAAGGCCUAUGGAGGUUCCCAGGGUAGGGGUUGAAUCAG